GCUCCUCAUUAUAUACACAAGGAAUAAUCUUAAAUUACGCUGAACGAUUACUAAAUGAAUAAUUAGAAUCUCAUGGUUAGUUUUUACAAGCACAACGUACAACAAUUUUCCCAUCCCGCUAAUUAUCCGGAUCAUCGUAAGAGAACAGAAGUCUUAAAAUGUGAUUCAAUCGUAGCCACAACCUCUUUGUUUUCCUUCAAUUGUUGAAAAAAUCCUUAUCUUUAUUAUACUCGGCAUCGUGUGAAUUACGCAACAGCGGAGUAGUUAUUAUCAUUACAAUUGAAUUUUAUGGAAUUGAUCUUCGGCGUUUUCAAUUACGAGACCAUUGAAGUCGAGUUAAUGAAGUGCUUUCAGUUCAAUGCGCGAUAAAACCACAUUUUUGUACAUCAAUUUCGUGGAAUCUUUCAAUUUGCGAAUUGUCUAAUUGAUUUCAGCAGUCGUGAGCUGUCAAUGGUGGGUAAUCCAACAGGAUGCUUGGCAGAAGCGUGACAGAACGUUUCGACAUAAUUUUCUCCAAGAAAACGUUCAAAUAUGUGGACGUGUCUUCCGACUAUUAUGUCAUUGAAGAGAAAUAAUGUGAUAUCGCAGAAAAAUACCGAUGGGAACUGCAGUUUUUAGGUCAAUUAUUGCAUGAAUUGAAAAGCCGGAAAAUUUACAACGGAAAUAUUGCGAGUAAAACGGAAACAGGAAGUGAAGCCGAGGGAGCGGAGACUGACGGUGCCAUUAGGCAUUAGGAUGCUGACGCGGAGGAUGGGGACUUGUGAAUUUUUAGGGUUACGAUUUAUCCUUGCGAGAGGCUGAGUGCACUCUAUCGUUGCAAUGACUCGUCAUGUGAAUCUCGAAAAUUGGGGCGACGGGAUUAACGCGAUGGAGUCGGGCAAAAUCAAGAGGAAAAUUCAAGGGAAAAUCAUUUCGAUCGUUUUCAUUUCACUUUUGCUCUUACAUAAAGAA